rnacentral:rRNA from 1 species
GACGAACGCUGGCGGCGUGCCUAAUACAUGCAAGUAGGACGCACAGUUUAUACCGUAGCUUGCUACACCAUAGACUGUGAGUUGCGAACGGGUGAGUAACGCGUAGGUAACCUGCCUAUUAGAGGGGGAUAACUAUUGGAAACGAUAGCUAAUACCGCAUAACAGUAUGUAACACAUGUUAGAUGCUUGAAAGAUGCAAUUGCAUCGCUAGUAGAUGGACCUGCGUUGUAUUAGCUAGUAGGUAGGGUAAAGGCCUACCUAGGCAACGAUACAUAGCCGACCUGAGAGGGUGAUCGGCCACACUGGGACUGAGACACGGCCCAGACUCCUACGGGAGGCAGCAGUAGGGAAUCUUCGGCAAUGGGGGGAACCCUGACCGAGCAACGCCGCGUAAGUGAAGAAGGUUUUCGGAUCGUAAAGCUCUGUUGUUAAGGAAGAACGAGUGUGAGAAUGGAAAGUUCAUACUGUGACGGUACUUAACCAGAAAGGGACGGCUAACUACGUGCCAGCAGCCGCGGUAAUACGUAGGUCCCGAGCGUUGUCCGGAUUUAUUGGGCGUAAAGCGAGCGCAGGCGGUUAGAAAAGUCUGAAGUGAAAGGCAGUGGCUCAACCAUUGUAGGCUUUGGAAACUGUUUAACUUGAGUGCAGAAGGGGAGAGUGGAAUUCCAUGUGUAGCGGUGAAAUGCGUAGAUAUAUGGAGGAACACCGGUGGCGAAAGCGGCUCUCUGGUCUGUAACUGACGCUGAGGCUCGAAAGCGUGGGGAGCGAACAGG